GUGGGCUUUGAGGUUUCAGAAGCUCCAGCCAGGCCCAGCAGCUCACUUGCUCCUCCUGCUGCCUGCUGAUCCAGAUGUGGAGCUCUCAGCCACUUCUCCAGCACUGUCUGCCUGCACGCUGACCAACUCCCUGCCAUGAUGACAACGGACUCACCUCUGAACUGAAUACAGGUGAGAGUACAGGAGUGGAGAUGACUCAAGGACAUUUACAUCACCAAAGGCCACUUCAUGAAUGACAGCUCAUGAAAGCUGGAACACAAUUCACAACUUGAAGGCAGCUCAACAGGGCCAGAUGAGGGAGCACCACCUGUAAUCAGCCCUGGAAUAAGAUGGAAACUGGAGGCAGGAGAAUCUGCCUGAAAACUAUGGGCCAGCCUCCUGCAGUAUUCUAUACAGCAGUGGAAACAGGAAGAGAGACUCAAAAGAGCAGGGAAGAUGGCAACCGGCUUCUGAAAGCUCUCUGACCUUCAUGUGCUUACACACAAGAUCUUGGCCUGCCUCCUGUCACUCCUCCCAGCUUGCUCAGAGUGUCUUCUCUUGAUCUCUGAGCACAUAGCUCUUGGAGAAAGAUCCACACAGCAUGGGAAAUCUGAGCCAGUCUCCAUCUUCAAGGUCAGCCUGAAAGGCAAGCCGAGUUGGAGGAUGAAGGAGAUGCUCGCUUGCUCCAUCCUCACCACCUCCUCCUUAGCAGCCCAGUGUGGAGCCAGAGCUCCUGCCCAUCUUACAGCUUGUUGAGAAGAACAUGCUGCCUGAAGGACA
rnacentral:lncRNA from 1 species